UUUUCCGUAGGUGAACCUGCGGAAGGAUCAUUAAUGAGUUGUCAUGGGGUUCGAUGCUGGCAGCCAGUUUUUGGAUGCAUGUGCUUGCCCUAACAAUCAUCUUCUUCCAAACACCUGUGCACAUUUUUGAGGGAGUCUUGAGUUGGUUGCCGCUCUUGGGUGAUUUUCUCACAUUCCCUUAAAUCAUUAUACGCUAUUAACAAUGUUGAACGUGCUCUGUGCCGCAAGGCCAUUAACAUAAUACAACUUUUAACAACGGAUCUCUUGGCUCUC
rnacentral:misc_RNA from 1 species